UUAUUCCAAAACGAUCAUGCUGCGGGAAUAAUAAGAACACCAAAUGAAAGCACAAGUAGAUUUCCAUAUUACUUAAAUCAAAAUCAGCUAACUAACUUGAUCCCACUUAUUUUUGGACCAUCAUCACAAUAACACAAUUCUAUAUAUUCGUAAACAGUAAAAUAGGAGAUAACCAAGAGAACAAAUAAAACAUAUGCACUGUUUUCAAAUCAGAAAUUCGCACAAGUUGAAACACGGACAGAAAACAAUGCUGGAACAACUGAACGGAUGGUAGUUUCACCAAUAACCUCAAUCAUAAUUCAAAUCAUAAACUCAAGCGGACAUGUAACACAAUGACAGUAGCACUUAAUUUCAAGCUUUAAUCAAAUUUCGGACAUAAACCAGAGAUAUAAAGGAGUGGGGAUUGACCUAAGAAAUAUUACUUUAACCAGUUUGAUUUGCAAAGAAAUUACAAGCUGAAUCCAAGCUGUAACAACAACGAAGAAUUCCACCAUGAACCUCGGACGGCGACGAGCCAGCUUCAAACCUCAAACUCGCAUCCAUUUUUGAAACCAUAUCCGAAAUCAAAGAUGAUAAACAACAUUUUGAGAAAAUGACCACAUGUAAUCUCAACGACAAACUCGACAGUAGCAACAAGCUGGUCGACUCGACCCAGACCAGACAGGAGAAAUUACUGCCCCUCGACAAUGCUAGAAAACUCAGAAAAAAGUCCAACACAAACCAAAAAUUGAAGUCUGUUUCAACGGGAUUUGUGUUGAAUGGGCAGGGGUUUCCCCAGU
rnacentral:lncRNA from 1 species